rnacentral:rRNA from 1 species
AUUGAACGCUGGCGGCGUGCCUAACACAUGCAAGUCGAGCGGUAACAGGUGUAGCAAUACAUGCUGACGAGCGGCGGACGGGUGAGUAACGCUUGGGAAUCUGCCUAUUAGUGGGGGACAACCCGGGGAAACUCGGGCUAAUACCGCAUACGCUCUACGGAGGAAAGCCGGGGACCGCAAGGCCUGGCGCUAAUAGAUGAGCCCAAGUCGGAUUAGCUAGUUGGUAGGGUAAUGGCCUACCAAGGCGACGAUCCGUAACUGGUCUGAGAGGACGACCAGUCACACCGGAACUGAGACACGGUCCGGACUCCUACGGGAGGCAGCAGUGGGGAAUAUUGGACAAUGGGCGAAAGCCUGAUCCAGCGAUGCCGCGUGUGUGAAGAAGGCCU